rnacentral:rRNA from 1 species
UACAGAGGGGGGCAAGCGUUGUUCGGAAUUACUGGGCGUAAAGGGCGCGUAGGCGGCCUGUUAAGUCGAACGUGAAAUCCCCCGGGCUCAACCCAGAGCCUGCAUCCGAAACUGGAGUGCUAGAGUUCUGGAGGGGGUAGCGGAAUUCCUGGUGUAGCGGUGAAAUGCGUAGAUAUCAGGAGGAACACCGGUGGCGAAGGCGGCUACCUGGACAGAAACUGACGCUGAGGCACGAAAGCUAGGGGAGCAAACAGG